UGUAAAGUUAACCAAAGGUUUGCAAAAGACAGGGGAGAGAGAGUCUUAACAUUUAAAACUAUAUAUAUAUAUAUAUAUAUAUAUAUAUAUAUAUAUAUAUAUAUAUAUAUAUAUUCAUUUAGGAAUCAGUUGAUGAUAGAUUCAAAGGGAAACUCUUAACUGUAAAUGUAAACCAUUAAAAUGCUGGUAAAUUGAUGAUCCAUUGUCUUGAGACUUUUGCAUAUUAUAAACAUAUUUUAACUUUACUUUCAAACUAUUCCCCUUGAAGAAAGAAAUACUAACCAUAGAGGUAUUGUGCAAAAUUAUCAUACAUUCAUAUUGGAUCUCAUUCUAACAAUCGUUUUCAGAAACUUUUAUCUUUUUUAUUAUUUGCACAGUGAAUGUGAAAAGAGUAAUGUAAACAAACACGAAAAUAUGACUCCAAACGUAGUAAGAGGAAAUUCUAGUACAAAUAAAUGGAAAUAAGUAUUUAUGUGGUUCUCAUGAUAAUGAACGUUUUGUCAGUGCAGACUGCCAGUAGGGGGAGAUAAAAGCUUGUAAUUGUAAUAAAAUCAUAUUUUCUUCCCUCCCAA